rnacentral:rRNA from 1 species
GACGUAGGGCGCGAGCGUUGUCCGGAUUUAUUGGGCGUAAAGAGCUCGUAGGCGGCUCAUUGCGUCAACCGUGAAAACCAGCAGCUCAACUGUUGGCUUGCGGUUGAUACGGGUGGGCUGGAGUUCGGUAGGGGAGACUGGAAUUCCUGGUGUAGCGGUGAAAUGCGUAGAUAUCUGGAGGAACACCGGUGGCGAAGGCGGCAUUCUGGACCGAUAUUGACGCUGAGGAGCGAAAGCCAGGGGAGCAAACGGG